UACGAAGGGUGCGAGCGUUGUUCGGAAUUAUUGGGCGUAAAGGGUUCGUAGGCUGGAAUUUAAGUCGGGUGUGAAAUCCCAAGGCUCAACCUUGGACGUGCAUUCGAAACUAUUUUUCUUGAAUGUUGGAGAGGGAAAGGGAAUUGCUGGUGUAGGAGUGACAUCCGUAGAGAUCAGCAGGAACACCGGAGGCGAAAGCGCUUUCCUGGCCAAACAUUGACGCUGAGGAACGAAAGCGUGGGGAGCAAACAGG
rnacentral:rRNA from 1 species